CUCUCUCUCAAUACACCCCAGACCUCCCCUCUCUCUCAAUACACCCCAGACCUCCCCUCUCUCUCUCUGCACAACUGCUGUUGAAGGAACAACAUCGUCCAGUAUUUUAGCCUCAAGACAAAUCAAACUGGUGUUGUCCCAAAUGGCUCCCUCUUCACUACUUUUAACCAGGCCCCAUCGGGGAUUUUAGUCAAAAGUAGUGUACAGUGUAGUUGAGAAUAGUUGACCAUUUUGGUACGGCGCCAGUUUACCGACCAACCACCAAUUGUAACACAGCAAUCCAUGUCUCGUAUUUUAACAGGCGAUCCUAUUAAUGUCUACAUUCCCUGAAUGACGAGGGCACCAAGUACUCCAUCCAGAAUGAUCCCCUGUCUAGUGCACUACGUUUUGAUUAGAGCAAAGGGAGUAUAUCUAUCAGACAUGAAGGUCUAGGCCUUACUGUAGGGUGUCAACAGGUCCCGGUCUAGGCCUUACUGUAGGGUGUCAACAGGUCCUGGUGUAGGCCUUACUGUAGGGUGUCAACAGGUCCUGGUCUAGGCCUUACUGUAGGGUGUCAACAGGUCCUGGUCUAGGCCUUACUGUAGGGUGUCAACAGGUCCUGGUGUAGGCCUUACUGUAGGGUGUCAACAGGUCCUGGUCUAGGCCUUACUGUAGGGUGUCAACAGGUCCUGGUCUAGGCCUUACUGUAGGGUGUCAACAGGUCCUGGUCUAGGCCUUACUGUAGGAUGUCAACAGGUCCCGGUCUAGGCCUUACUGUAGGAUGUCAACAGGUCCUGGUCUAGGCCUUACUGUAGGGUGUCAACAGGUCCUGGUCUAGGCCUUACUGUAGGGUGUCAACAGGUCCUGGUGUAGGUCUAGGCCUUACUGUAGGAUGUCACCAGGUCCUGGUGUAGGCCUUACUGUAGGAUGUCAACAGGUCCUGGUCUAGGCCUUACUGUAGGAUGUCACCAGGUCCUGGUGUAGGCCUUACUGUAGGGUGUCACCAGGUCCUGGUCUAGGCCUUACUGUAGGAUGUCAACAGGUCCUGGUGUAGGCCUUACUGUAGGAUGUCAACAGGUCCCGGUCUAGGCCUUACUGUAGGAUGUCAACAGGUCCUGGUCUAGGCCUUACUGUAGGAUGUCACCAGGCCCUGGUCUAGGCCUUACUGUAGGAUGUCAACAGGUCCCGGUCUAGGCCUUACUGUAGGGUGUCAACAGGUCCUGGUGUAGGCCUUACUGUAGGGUGUCAACAGGUCCUGGUCUAGGCCUUACUGUAGGGUGUCAACAGGUCCCGGUCUAGGCCUUACUGUAGGGUGUCAACAGGUCCUGGUGUAGGCCUUACUGUAGGGUGUCAACAGGUCCUGGUCUAGGCCUUACUGUAGGGUGUCAACAGGUCCUGGUCUAGGCCUUACUGUAGGGUGUCAACAGGUCCUGGUCUAGGCCUUACUGUAGGAUGUCAACAGGUCCCGGUCUAGGCCUUACUGUAGGAUGUCAACAGGUCCUGGUCUAGGCCUUACUGUAGGAUGUCACCAGGCCCUGGUCUAGGCCUUACUGUAGGAUGUCAACAGGUCCUGGUCUAGGCCUUACUGUAGGGUGUCAACAGGUCCUGGUGUAGGCCUUACUGUAGGGUGUCAACAGGUCCUGGUCUAGGCCUUACUGUAGGGUGUCAACAGGUCCCGGUCUAGGCCUUACUGUAGGGUGUCAACAGGUCCUGGUGUAGGCCUUACUGUAGGGUGUCAACAGGUCCUGGUGUAGGCCUUACUGUAGGGUGUCAACAGGUCCUGGUCUAGGCCUUACUGUAGGGUGUCAACAGGUCCUGGUCUAGGCCUUACUGUAGGAUGUCAACAGGUCCUGGUGUAGGCCUUACUGUAGGAUGUCAACAGGUCCCGGUCUAGGCCUUACUGUAGGGUGUCAACAGGUCCUGGUCUAGGCCUUACUGUAGGGUGUCAACAGGUCCUGGUCUAGGCCUUACUGUAGGAUGUCAACAGGUCCUGGUCUAGGCCUUACUGUAGGAUGUCAACAGGUCCCGGUCUAGGCCUUACUGUAGGGUGUCAACAGGUCCUGGUCUAGGCCUUACUGUAGGAUGUCAACAGGUCCUGGUGUAGGCCUUACUGUAGGAUGUCAACAGGUCCUGGUGUAGGCCUUACUGUAGGAUGUCAACAGGUCCUGGUGUAGGUCUUACUGUAGGAUGUCAACAGGUCCCAGCCCUGCCAGACAUCACUCGUCUUAUACAAAAAAAAAAUAUUUCUCCUGUUUAUUAAAAACCAAAUAAAUCUGUGAUCAUGAA